ACAGAAGCAAUUCCACUUGUGAGGAAGCAGGAAAUUUAGCUGACCAAAGGAGCAAGACGCUUUCUUAUUCAGAGUGGAGUUCAGAAACUGAUCAGAAGAACUUUGCAUCUCUACUGGAAAGCAGUCUCUUGAAUGAGUAGCAGUGAUGUGGAGCAGAAUGAGCAAGAUCACUUUUUCUCUUCUUGAAGCAUCACCGUCCCUCCGUCAACCUCCAUUGAAAUGUCUGUCCUCGUCAAUUGUCUGUCACACUGCUUAAUGUCAUUCUUAGAAAGACUAGCAAGGUUUUUGAGUGACAUUGUAACUUCAAUCAAUUUGCAUUUCUGCCACAGUGGAAAUUAUUUUUGAAAACUACUGCAUCAUUCCUAGGCUGUAUGAGGCCUUAAUUGCCUAGAAUGUCACUUGAUCUGUAAACUUUCUGCAAGUGGUUCCAUCUGAAAGAAGCCUGAGUGAGCAUGAGGAGGAUUUCCUUCAAAAGACACUUUAAAACAAUUUCUACACUCUUGUCUAGUACACAUUAUUACGGGAUUUUGAGAUGACCUAUUGUCAUGGUGUGUUGAAUUAUUUUUUAAUAUUCUGGACUCUUGGGAAAUACAGCACAAAAUCCUAUAGUAGUUCCUAUGCAGUCUUAGAAGCCAAAUUGGUUUACAAUCAUGGAUUUCUCUUUUACCCAUUCUGUAACCCCAGGUACUUCACGUCAACUCUGCUAACCUUGACUUCCACUUUGCAACACUGGCGACUGAAAAGGCCCUUCCUAAGAUUGUUGUGAUGGUUAAAUUUAACUGUACUUCAUGCUUUGAACAUUGCAGGCGCUCAAUCAAUGUUCUCUUUCCUUCUUCUAUGCCUAUCUCCAGAAAAAACUUGAAAAGACAUGUGUAUUUGGGAGCCCAAAACGUGAAACUUGAAUACAAGUCAAGGGUGUUGUGAUGAAGAGUCCUGGAUAUUGCUAAUAAGUUCUAAUUUAACAUAGUUUGUUUUUGUCUCUGCAUAAUAUGCAUCCUUAUCACAUUACGUAUGCCAUUAUUCAUUCUCUCUGUCUCGGUCUCUCUAUCUUUUGUCAAUCUUUCCCUUCCUCUCUUUUUCCCUCCUUCCCUCCCUUCCUCCCUUCCUCCCUCCCUGGCUUCCUUCCUUCCUUCCUUCCUUCCUUCCUUCCUUCCUUCCUUCCUUCCUUCCUUCCUUCCUUCCUUUCUCGCAUAUGCUUCAGAGAAUAGGUUCAGGAAACUGACAUAAAAGAGUGAAAUGUAGUUACAUUUUGCAGAUGAAGAAAAGAGAUACAGAGAGGUUUAGAAAUUUGUCUAAGUUCACACAGCUAAAAAAAUGUGAUAGCUGGGCAUGCUGCUCUCUGUCAGAUCUUUCUACUGCACAAAGCCACUCUAUAGCAACAUUUUAUAGCCAUCCUAUUAGUUUCUCCGAUCAAAUGACACUAAACCUGCACUUUUGUUUCCCUCUUAGGGAAGGACUGAUUCCAAGCCUAAUAGCAGCUAUUAACAUUCUCAUACAAGGUCCUUUUAAAAUGUUGAAAUAGCUUUGAGAUUAAUUUCUUUUAAAGCAAACUUGAACUAGCUUUUCUAUUGAUGCUAUGAAGAGGAAAAUAGUCUUGCCCAAGGUCGACAAAGAAUUGAAAAGUGAGGUUAAUAAUAAAAGCAGAAUUAGAAGCAGUUUCAGUGGAGAUAUGUCAUGUGCAAGCCUAUAAAAUAAAUAGCAAUUAUCACAUUAGAAAAAUGAGUCUCUCAGAACAAGAGUGGUUUCUGACAACUCCAUCUCUGUACCACUGUCCUCUGACUUGCUCACUUUGUGCCUCUUAUUGACUAAAUCAAUGCACAACACUCCCCACCCCUGUGCUUAAGAUGAAAGCUAUUUUGCUCAAUAAAAACUCAAUAACUAGAGAUAAAACCACAAUAUUUAAAAGCACCCCCUUACAUAUUGGCUUAAUGUAUUAGCAAAUAUUUUCUGUAUUACAUUUUGUGUAUAAAACAAAGAUUACUUGCUUAUGUAUAUAAUAU
rnacentral:lncRNA from 10 species